AAAACAUUUGGGAUUAACGCUUUUUCUUCAUAGUGGAACAAGCAUCACAGUGUACACCUGGCCACGUCCUUACAAUCGCCGAGGAAGGGAAGGAAUGUUAGUUCAACAUCUACUAGCGAAAGUGCAGGGAACCCAUACUACUUUCAUAGAUGUUUCAGGAAAAGGAGCUUGUGUUAGUAGGGCAGGUUAAUUAUCAGGAACUUAUUCAACAACAUUUCGUAGGAAAUAUUGUGUAAAAUGGAUGUAACUUACCUUUUGUCUAUUAAUUUAUGGGAAACCUAAAAUCUAGGCAUAAAAUGGUUGUAAAAAUAAAAAUAUCUAAUGCACAAAAUUUCGUGAGCUCAAAUAAAAAAACAAAUUAUACCAACGACACGACUAGACACUUGCAUUCCAAAACUGUAUCUCAAAUCUGACUACCCCUCAGUGACUCAGGUAACUGGUACUGUCAAAUUUGAUAUAUGGUUAGAAAAUAUACAAAACUAGCAGCACUAAUGAAGCUGUUAUUUUUUCCUAACAACGAUUAUGCUCCGUUGCAAUCCCUGGUUACGCCGACGAAAAUAAAUAAACAAAAUAAUUAAACCGUUGACGUUGGCUGCAAAUGUGAAAAGUAUAUUCGGCAAUAAAUUACAAAAUUAGCGCUGCUUUCCAGAGCACCCUCGAAUGAUCGAUACCUGUUUUGUUAAACAAAUCGCUCCCUAAAAUCAAAACAUCUUCCCUUGCCUAGUAUGGUGGAUAGUGCAGCAAAAAUGUUAAAACGAAUUCAAUUUGGUAUUUGGUUAGCACGACAUUAAUUGAUAUUGAACAUAUUAAAGGUAUAAAUAAAGCGUUUUAGACAAUGA